rnacentral:rRNA from 1 species
UAAGAUCCCUCAAAGAUGAUGAGGUUAAUAGGUUCGGGGUGUAAGCGCAGUAAUGUGUGUAGCUGACGAAUACUAAUCGAUCGAAGACUUAAUCAA